UAUAAAUGAAAUUCUCGUUAUCGUCAUUAACUAAAUUCCAUAAAAUUAUUACAUGUACAAUUUAAGUUAGCCAAUACAUUACCAUAUUACUUUUCCAUUUCAUGCUUGAUCCACAUUUCUUUUCAAUCAACACGAGUUUAUAUACACAUCCAUACGCAUUAGUAAAUUUUCUUAUUCAAUCCAUAUUCUUCUUUACCACAU
rnacentral:sRNA from 1 species